GGGCAGCAUGGGAGAUGCUUGCAUUUCCCGAUGGCGACCGGCGCACGGGUGAGUAACGCGUAUCCAACCUACCCUUCACUCCGGCACAGCCCGUCGAAAGACGGAUUAAUGCGGGAUGCAGUCAGAAAGAUGCAUAUUAAUUUGACGAAAGGCCUUCGGGCCGGUGAGGGAUGGGGAUGCGUCCGAUUAGCUUGACGGCGGGGUAACGGCCCACCGUGGCGACGAUCGGUAGGGGUUCUGAGAGGAAGGUCCCCCACAUUGGAACUGAGACACGGUCCAAACUCCUACGGGAGGCAGCAGUGAGGAAUAUUGGUCAAUGGGCGAGAGCCUGAACCAGCCAAGUAGCGUGCAGGAAGACGGCCCUAUGGGUUGUAAACUGCUUUUGUGCGGGAAUAAAGCGGGUCACGUGUGGCCCUUUGCAUGUACCGUACGAAUAAGGACCGGCUAAUUCCGUGCCAGCAGCCGCGGUAAUACGGAAGGUCCGGGCGUUAUCCGGAUUUAUUGGGUUUAAAGGGAGCGUAGGCCGUCUCAAAAGCGUGUUGUGAAAUGUCCGGGCUCAACCGGGGCCGUGCAGCGCGAACUGUGAGACUUGAGUGUGCGGAAGGUAUGCGGAAUUCGUGGUGUAGCGGUGAAAUGCAUAGAUAUCACGAAGAACUCCGAUUGCGAAGGCAGCAUGCCGCA
rnacentral:rRNA from 1 species